GAUGAACGCUGGCGGCGUGCUUAACACAUGCAAGUCGAACGAAGCACUUUAUUUGAUUUCCUUCGGGACUGAUUAUUUUGUGACUGAGUGGCGGACGGGUGAGUAACGCGUAGGUAACCUGCCUUGUACAGGGGGAUAACAGUUGGAAACGGCUGCUAAUACCGCAUAAGCGCACGGCAUCGCAUGAUGCAGUGUGAAAAACUCCGGUGGUAUAAGAUGGACCCGCGUUGGAUUAGCUAGUUGGUGAGGUAACGGCCCACCAAGGCGACGAUCCAUAGCCGACCUGAGAGGGUGACCGGCCACAUUGGGACUGAGACACGGCCCAAACUCCUACGGGAGGCAGCAGUGGGGAAUAUUGCACAAUGGGCGAAAGCCUGAUGCAGCGACGCCGCGUGAGCGAAGAAGUAUUUCGGUAUGUAAAGCUCUAUCAGCAGGGAAGAUAAUGACGGUA
rnacentral:rRNA from 1 species